rnacentral:rRNA from 1 species
AGCGAACGCUGGCGGCAGGCCUAAUACAUGCAAGUCGAGCGCACCUUCGGGUGAGCGGCGGACGGGUGAGUAACGCGUGGGAACGUGCCCUUUGGUACGGGAUAACUGAGGGAAACUUCAGCUAAUACCGUAUGUGCCCUACGGGGGAAAGAUUUAUCGCGCAUUGGAGCGGCCCGCGUUGGAUUAGGUAGUUGGUGAGGUAAAGGCUCACCAAGCCUACGAUCCAUAGCUGGUCUGAGAGGAUGAUCAGCCACACUGGGACUGAGACACGGCCCAGACUCCUACGGGAGGCAGCAGUAGGGAAUCUUGCGAAAUGGGCGAAAGCCUGACGCAGCCAUGCCGCGUGAAUGAUGAAAGUCUUAGGAUUGUAAAAUUCUUUCACCGGGGAAGAUAAUGACGGUACCCGGAGAAGAAGCCCCGGCUAACUUCGUGCCAGCAGCCGCCGUAACAC